rnacentral:rRNA from 1 species
UGGGGAAUAUUGCACAAUGGGCGCAAGCCUGAUGCAGCCAUGCCGCGUGUAUGAAGAAGGCCUUCGGGUUGUAAAGUACUUACAGCGAGGAGGAAGGCGUUGUGGUUAAUAACCGCAGCGAUUGACGUUACUCGCAGAAGAAGCACCGGCUAACUCCGUGCCAGCAGCCGCGGUAAUACGGAGGGUGCAAGCGUUAAUCGGAAUUACUGGGUGUAAAGCGCACGCAGGCGGUCUGUCAAGUCGGAUGUGAAAUCCCCGGGCUCAACCUGGGAACUGCAUCCGAAACUGGCAGGCUAGAGUCUUGUAGAGGGGGGUAGAAUUCCAGGUGUAGCGGUGAAAUGCGUAGAGAUCUGGAGGAAUACCGGUGGCGAAGGCGGCCCCCUGGACAAAGACUGACGCUCAGGUGCGAAAGCGUGGGGAGCAAACA